rnacentral:lncRNA from 1 species
GUCCAUUAGCAUCAAACUAUUUCUAAACCACGUUUACUUUUAACCUAGUGUUUUUUUAAAUAAUUAUAUAACCAAUUUGCUGUUUCAUAAAUUAGCGUACAUGUAGCUAUGCUAGCUAAACUCGCUAUGCUAACUAGUUAGGUAAGCUACGUUGUUCGUUUCAAGAAACAGGUUUCACACAUGGCAGGCAUUAUUUUCUCAGCUAUUAUUCUUCUUUUAUUUUGUAUUACUCUCUGUGACUUCAGUAUGGAAUACAGUAACUAUUUCUGUUGGCUCUGCAAAAACAUCAAUUGCGAUAAAGCACAGCUACUGCACGUGUGCUGCUCAGCAACAGCGAGAGGAAAAAGGAAACCGUGUCAGUGUUUCAAUCUGGGAGGUGGUGAACAGGAGGCAGUGUCCUGUUCAGCGCUGCUUUGUCUUACUGAAAUCUGCUGUACUGGGCCAGGAUUUGAGCAACUGGAGGAAACAAAGAAAUAUGUUGGAUUUGAGGAAUUCUGA